GCUCCUGUAGCUCAACAGGUAGAGCGGCACGCUUAUAACGUGUUAGUACCAGAUCGGUGCAUGAUCCGGGUUCAAAUCCCGGCGGGAGCA
rnacentral:tRNA from 1 species